UUUAAUCCAACAAUCCAUUUCAUAAUCAAUUGACAACCAUAAUGUUAAACCAUUUACAUUUAUAAAUCACUUAAAUCCACUUGAUAAAAUCCAUUUACCAUAUCCAAUAACAUCCAAUACAAGAAAAUGAAACAAAAUGGAAAAAAGGGCAGUGGUAAUUGAAAAAAGUUGCAGCCAAAACCUGAUAUAGCCCGUUCAUAAGCUAACGAAGCACAAACUGCCACUCACACCAUUAAGCCAAACUCCAAACGCUGCAAGAAACGAUAAGCCACCUGCAAAAGAAAGAAAAACGCAUUUGCUAAAGAAGCUAAACGGCGCCAAACCAAAACUGAUAAGUGCUUCCAAAAACUGCAGCAUCAAUAACAACAACACUAGCCAUCCCAGCUACAAACCAAGCGUCGGUAAACGCAGCUAACAUCAAACUGCACAACAACAAAGUUGCAGUGAAAAAAAGCAGAAACGGCGACGGAAACAACGCAACACAACUACAAUAAAACUCAAAGCUACCGCCAAACACCGACAAAACAAUGUAGCAAACCAAAAACAAAGCUGAAAUGCAGAAAACAAAUGCUUGCCAAACCUACCCAAACACCGACAAUGUAAAUCAACCACCACCAAAAAGCUGCUACGGCUCAAAGCUACCAAACCUGCAUUAACAAAGUUCUGCAUAUCAAAACCAUUUAUUUAACCUGCAUAAAAAUCCUGCAAAAAAAAGAACGAUAACAAAAUCGCCAAACGAAAUCCAUAACAGAAAAAACUAACUUCUAACCUCACUCUCAUCACUCUAUAAAUACAAACCUUCACUCUUCAUCUAAACGGUUUUUUUUCAUCUUCAUUCACUCUCUCAACAUCACCUUCAUCAUCUUCUUCAAUCAGUUUCUUUCCCUAACCGCAUCAUUCUUCCACCACCGUCAACACCGCUUCAACCACCGUGAACUCAAUCCUAAUAACAGAGUAACGAAUCACAAUCACGUCUGCAGAACGCUCAACAAAUCCACAGAAAUUGCAAUAAUAGGACAAAAAUACAUAUAGAAGAAGGAGAGGAGAGCAUAUUGAAGAAAAAGCACGAAGGGAGAAAAAGAAGCCCACGUUCUUCAUCGACUCGGUGCGAUCUUGGUCGAAGGUAGGUGCUAUUUGGAUUCGAAUUCGGUGUUGCUCUCGUAGUGUUUCCCAGGCAUUCCUCCUCCAUAGGAGGAUAGGAUUUUGGAUCGAUUGGUUUAUAUUUCGUAGGAUAUUUCGAUUCGAUUUGGUAGGAAUUAAAAGGGAUUAGUGUUAUAUUUAGGAGUUGAUAAUUUGAGUUGGUGAAGGAGAGGUAAGCGUAAACAUGCUAGAUGGUUCCCAGGGAUUAACAUGGAUGUGAGGGGUACUAAUACCUUCCCCUUGCAUAACCGACUUCCGAACUUGUUCGUGGUUGCGAUGACCAUUCUUUGGGGUUUUCUCGAUAUUUUCCCAUUCCUUUGGAAUAAAUAAAAAUCGAUGGUGACUCUGUAUUUUUUUCGUAGCGACAGCUGACGACUUUGCUGGGGAUACCUUCCUAAGCAAGUCAAGCCUAAUCUAGGUUGAUUCCUCGCGUGUAUGGGUGCUUAUCCUUUUGAUAUUGCUUGCCUUAUUUGUCGCCUUGUGCUUUAAAUUUUGUAAUCUAUUAUGUGGUUCCACGAUUCGAUGGUAGUGAUGGAUGGUACUUCGAUUGCAAGAAGCCUUGUGGGAAAGACUCUCUACCCGAGUCUAUAGUGCAAACUUGAGAUAGGAGAGGUUGAGUAGUAUGGGCCACUGAGGAGAUUUUCUCGUAAGGGUUGAUACGAGAACCUCGCUUAGAGUAGAUUCUUUUGGAGAUUUUGACGGCCGUCAAGCUUUUGACGUAAGCGAUCAAUGUUUUCAUUAGGAUCCAUGACUCUAAAGACCUUUAUAGAACAUUAAACCUUGACCAAUUAAGAUUGAUGGUCACGUAGUACGGGUCCCCGAGAAGCUUUUCUCGUGAGGGUUGGUACGAAGAUCUCACUCAAAGUAGAUUUUCUUGAUGGAGUUGUCGAUCGGAAAACUUUUGCUGUAAGCGGCAAACAGUCAAGGAGGUUCGUGACUUUGAGACCUUUGUCUAGAACCCGAUGUCGAUGGUCGCGUAGUAUGGGUCCCCGAGAAGCCUUUCUCGUGUGGAUCGGUACGAAGAUCUCACCCAGAAGAGGCUCAUUUGAGGGAGUUAACGACCGACAAGCUUUUUUUGUAAGCUGCUAAACCCGUUCAUAAGCUAACGAAGCACAAGCUACCACUCACACCAUUAAGCCAAACUCCAAACGCUGCAAGAAACGAUGAGCCACCUGCAAAAGAAAGAAAAACUUGUCUGCUAAAGAAGCUAAACGACGCCGAGCCAAAACUGAUAAGUGCUUCCAAAAACUACAGCAUUAAUAAUAACAACACUAGCCAUCGCAGCUACAAACCAAGUGCCGGUAAACGCAACUAACACCAAACUUCACAACAAUAAUUUUGCAGUGAAAAAAGCAGAAAUGACGACGGAAACAACGCAACACAGCUAUAAUAAAACUCAAAGCUACCGCCAAACACCGACAAAAUAAUGUAGUAAACCAAAAACACAGCUGAAAUGUAGAAAACCAACGCUAGCCAAGCCUACCCAAACGCCGACAAUGUAGAUAAACCACCACCAAAAAGCUGCUACGGCUCAAAGCUACCAAACCUGCAUUAACAAAGUUCUGCAUAAUCAAAACCAUUUUUUAACCUGCAGAAAAAAGAACGAUAACAAAAUUGCCAAACGAAAUCCAUAACAGAAAAAAAUAACUUUUAACCUCACUCUCAUCACUCUAUAAAUACAAACCUUUACUCUUCAUCCAAAGGGAUUUUUUUCGUCUUCAUUCGCUCUCUCAACAUCACCUUCAUCAUCUUCUUCAAUCAGUUUCUUUCCCUAACCG
rnacentral:lncRNA from 1 species